rnacentral:rRNA from 1 species
AGAACGAACGCUGGCGGCAGGCUUAACACAUGCAAGUCGAGCGCCCCGCAAGGGGAGCGGCAGACGGGAGAGUAACACGUGGGAACGUACCCUUUGGUUCGGAACAACACAGGGAAACUUGUGCUAAUACCGGAUAAAGCCCUUACGGGGAAAGAUUUAUUGCCAAAAGGAUCGGCCCGCGUCUGAUUAGCUUGUUGGUGGGGUAAAGGCCUACCAAGGCGACGAUCGGUAGCUGGUCUGAGAGGAUGAUCAGCCACAUUGGGACUGAGACACGGCCCAAACUCCUACGGGAGGCAGCAGUGGGGAAUAUUGGACAAUGGGCGCAAGCCUGAUCCAGCAAUGCCGCGUGUGUGAAGAAGGUCUUCGGAUUGUAAAGCACUUUCGACGGGGACGAUGAUGACGGUACCCGUAGAAGAAGCCCGGCUAACUUCGUGCCAGCAGCCGC